UACUCUCUCUCCCUCACUUUCUCUUCCUCGCUCGCUCUCAUCUUCCGCAUAAAGGAAUCACAUUUCAUUGAAGGAGGAGAAUCAAGGCUUCAUUUCUCUCUCCUCUUCCUCCUCUCACAACCCUGGUCCUUUUCCCAUUCAUAGCCCUUCUGCCAUUCUUUUCUUCUUCUCUUUCUCCCCCCUUCUUUACUGCAUUUUACUCUGCAUUUGUCUGCCAUUUCGCUUCACUCAUACUGCUGUCCCAUUCGUUCCCUUUACCAAAGUAAGCUUCCUUCACUUUGGGUCAAAUCAAUCUUCCUCUUUUCCCUCAGACUUUUGCUUCCUUUCAUGUCCUUUCACUGCAGUCUUUCUUACUUGUUGUUGGUGUUUACUCACUUUACUACUUCUUAUCUGAAGAAACAACUUUUUGUUCAGGAAAAGUUUGCCGUCUCCCUAUUCUCUUUCAGAUCUUAUAUUGACAUUACGUUUCUUUAUUUUGUCAGAUUUAUUUAUUUUUUUGGUGCAAAAAUUUUCUUUUUUUUUUCAUUUUUGAAACUCCUGGACUUAACAACACUCAGGUAAGAUCUACUAAGGCCAAGGCUAUUGCAUGGGUAUGCAGUCAGAAUUCAGAGACAUUAAAGCACAAAUAUUUCAUACUGUGCACAGCUAACAAAAAUGUACGUAUUGUAUAUGCAGAAAAAUCAAGACACUGAAGCCUGAAACCUCUACUUUAUCUAAAAUAUCCAGUAGUAUUCACUGUGUUUUCCGCAGGAGCAUCAAAUAUGCUUGCUUGACAAAAAAAUAUUCUGCACUCAUGAGUUUCAGAGUACUGCAUCAUUCUGCAGAAGUAGUUUUCUGUAUUUCUCCAACUACAAACUAAUAAAUUAGGACUAUUUGAAUUUAAUAAGGAAGUAAUGAGAGGCAAUAAAAUCUAAAACUGAACAACUUGGAAGUGAGGUCAGGCAGUCAGAGAGUAAAAACAUCUUCCUGUGGGGCUUUCCAGCAGGGACCGCUGGUGUUGUGGGAUGGAUUAUAUUUCAGCACCAUGGACAGUGGCGCUUUCUUACUCUCUCUCUCUGGGACAAACUCUCCUCUUACGGGAUACUAAACUUUCAAGAAGCAACUUCUAUUAUCUCACUGUGGAACUUUCAUUCAUUGGAUGAGUUUUUUUCUGGUUUCACUUUGUAGUGCCCCUGCGCCCCUUACUUCUACUUCAUAGGCAGCUGUAGCUUAUUUGUGAACUGCUCAAUGUUUUAUACACGGACAGCCACAACUCUGUAACUGCGGGUAGAUGCCUUUUUGUUCCCUCUGAGUCAUGUGUGAUGAGCUUACUGAUUUUUUAAAUGUACCUAUGUAUUCUUUCAUAAAAACUAAUUAGAGGUUCAUUUGGAAAGGGCGCUGUUAGGUUCCUCUACCUUUCCUGAGAACUAGAAUUUGUGAGAAGUUUAAGUUAAAGUAACUGUGAUGAGCUACAUAUCUGAUUACUGAUCUUGAUGAGCUCAAAGCAAGUGAGUUCAAUGCUCUGUAGUUGCAUUUCAGGAAAAUGUCCACAGUUUCAGUUUUUAAGAGCCUGCCUCAGCACUUUAAUCAUUGACAGCAGUGCAAUUGCGCAAAAAAACAACAACCAGAGAGAGGAGUGGGGAAAACAUGAGGAGGAGAGGUAUGGAGGGGGGACUGAAGCUAAAGAAGCUGAACAGGGGGUGUAGAUCCAGUGGAGAAAGCACAGAGCUGAUAAGGAAUGCAGAAAGGAAUGAAGAAUGAGGAAGAGGCUAAAAACUGAGGGAGAAGUGGGAAGAGGGGAGGGGGGUGUGCAGAGAGGAGGAACAAUCUCCACCACCAGCUCUCUUUCUCUCCCCUGCAGCAUUUCCUGCCUUGGCCACCAUGUCCUGCGCCACCCUGCUACUACUGCCUCACCACUGCAUAUACACGAGAGGAGAGGUAGUGAGAAGGAGGGGAGAGGAGAGGGGAGGGAGGGAGACGCAUACAUACACACACUCACCUGGCUGCAACAAACGGGCUAAGAAAAGCAUGUUGAGGGCGAAAUGAGGCUCAUUCAUUCUGAACGUUUAGAGAGAGGAGAGGAGCUCUGCAGUGGACAGAUAGAUAGAGAGAACAGGGCUGGGGGAUAGAAAGAGCGUGCACACGGCUUGCGCACGACGGCUGCACUGACGCUAAUAUAUAUUAGCAGAAACACUGCAGCAAGAGGGGGAGGGAGCUCGGGAUUAUAGGAUGCAUUGACUGUGAAGUACCAGCAGCAGUAACCGGGGGGAGGGGAGGAGAGCGCACGCUAGAGGGAGAGGGAGAGACAGAAAGAGGAGGCAAGGGAGGAAUUUUGAGGAGUGCUGACUAUGCGGAACAGACCCAGCAGUUGGCAGAAAAAGCAAAAAAACGUUACGAAUCACAGAGGGGGAGUGGGGUGGGAGAUAUGGAGAGGGAGAUAAGAUGGAGGAGAGAAGAAGGUAUGUAGGACAGUUAAGGUGAGAAAAGGAUAGAGAGAGUAGGGGGGAAGUGUAAGGCAGGAGAGAAGGGGAAAUGAGCAGUCUGGGGGGAAAUGAAACAGGGGAGAGAAAAAAGGUGGGGCAAGAGACAGAGAGGACAAAAAAAGACCUUGCAGUGGCGCAGGAUAGCACCUGAAUGGAUGUAAAGGUGUAGGAGGAGUCGGGGGGGGGGGGGGGUUAGAAAUGGUCUGCAAUACUAAGAAGAGGAAUGGAAACAUUGAUGAUUAAAGAGGAGGAGAGGAAGGAUAACGUGUAGGGAUGUAAAACAGACACAAAGUUGAGCUAAAUGGCAAAUGUACCAUUGGGGAAAAUGAGGGCUUUGCAGGCAAGUGUUUAACGUAUGAAUGUGUGUGUGUGUGUGUGUGUGUGUGUGUGUGUGUGUGUGUGUGUGUGUGUGUGUGUGUGUGUGUGUGUGAAAGAGCGAUAGCAAGAAUUACGUAUGUGUUUCUGGUGCGCAGCCAUUUUUUUCCCACCCGCUACCUCAUCAAGGAUGUAACCACAAGGCUUCACGCUGUUCCCCCAUAUCACCUCCCUCCUUUCCUCAUUCCUCUCCCCCUCAUCUCAACCUUAUCUCACUCUCCUCUCCUCUCUCUCACACUCCCCGGUGUUGAGGAGACCCCAACAGGAGAAAGCGAGGCACUGCAGCGCGGUGAAAGCACUGCGGUCACCUCCCCUUUUAGUGCGGUGUCACACCACAGUGUCCUCUCCCCUCUCCAAUUGUCAUUGCACCUCAUGGUGUAACUCUGAUUCUGGCAGGAGGGUAGGAGCCAGAUAGGUGUGUGCGUGAGUGUGAGGAUAGUGGUGAGAGGUAUAGGUGGAAUGAAUGAAUAAGAAUGAAAAUGAGAUGAUUGUCAUGAAUGGAUGGAGAGCAAAAAAAAAAACAAGGUGCGUAUGCAGGAAAAAACAGAGAACAAGGCCACACAAUGACCCAGUAGCUUUGAGACAGCUGAUGUACACAGAGGAGAGAAAAAACAAGGCAUUUCUUUCAAUAAAGCUCACCGGUGGCCAAUUCCCAGAACAUGAAUUAAAUAGCCAAUCAAUUAAGCAAGCAGAAAGGAAAUGGCAGUUCCUCUACUCCACGUGGAAAUCUCCAGGGGCUGACCAAUCCACACAUACUGCAGCACUUGUGCAUACUGCUCAAUCACCCCCAGCCCUCUGAGGAACUUGCUAUGGUAACUUCCAGCCACUUUCUUUUUUUGAGAAAAAAAAAAGAAUCAUGUGCUCCUGGUUUGCUCCUUUUAGCUGGCUGGGGAUGAUUAAUACAUAAGGCCAGUUUCAGGAAUAGACCUGCAGAAAUGAAGCCUGUAAUAGAGCUCUGAAAGCCCAGCAAGUGUCCAUGACUAAAUCAUUUCUGCCCACAGGAGGACACAUGUUGAGAUUUCUGGGAUAGAUAUGCCCACUGGGUGAGACUUCACUGGUGACAGGAGGAGACAGGGUGCAGGUAAAGAUUGAGGAGUUCUAGAGUUCCCUUCAAGGGGCAGUGAGUGGUGUAGGAGAGGUCAGAAAAAUCCUGAAACAGAGUGCAGGCAAAAAAAAAAAAAAAAAGAGCAAUGGGAUAGUGUUUCAUGUCGGGAAGGAAAGAUAUUUUUGGACCUGGAUGAAUCUGAGCUAUCCCGUAGUAUUUAAAAUGUGGUUCUUAGAGAAUUUACAUCAGGAGCAAAUAGCUUUAACCUCAACACCUCCCGACUGUCUCUUAAGUCAUUUAAACCUGUCUGCUCCUAAUUAAGGAUGCUGCCCUUACUACAUGAUUAUGACCAUUAUGAUCCAGCAGCGCAGUGAUGUGGUUCAGAGGGCCAGACAGACAAACGGGAUGAUGGGAGAAGUAUUACUGCACUGACCCCUGACCUGUGAACUAGCCAGCGAUUAGACAAAGAGGAGGGGUAGUCACAGAUAAGACUCUCAACAGGAGGGAGAGAAGUUGGCUUUGAAUGUGAAGAAAUAAAACAAAAGGAAAUGUAGACAAGAAAGGAGACGAGAGGGAAUGGAAGGUGAGCCUGGAGGUGAGCCUCAAGGUCACCGAUGUAAAACAGAAGGUUUAAAAGCAGAGUCAGGUAAGGAAUUAGUUGAAGGACAGAGGGAGAGUUCUCUGAUUCGAAGACGUGUGAUGACAGAGAAACUAUUGCGGCCAAGGAGAGAGGAAGGGUCAGAGGAGAGAACACACACAAACCCAAGACACGGCAGAAGCGUAAUUCAAUCACAGCCUCAAAAUAGAUUCAUUCCCCCCCGUUGCUUAAACAGCAGCGUCCUCCUUUCGAGCCCCAUCACUACUCUACCGAUCACAUCCACUGACAGGGCGCCACUGUCUCUGGUGGGGAGGCUUUUUUUUUUUUUUUUUUAUAGCUUUUUGCUAAAAUCAAAAGGGUGUUUUCUGGGUUACCCUCGAUCUAAAAAUAGCGCCAGCUGUAGAUUCAUAAUGCAGGAUUGAGGAGGGGGGAAAGCAGUGAGAGAGCAAAUGGAAGAAGAGAGUUCCCAUCAGGGGAAGAGCACGCUGGAGCCAGUUGGCAGAAAAAGCGAGGCAUGCGCUGGAAAGUGAAGGAAGAAGAGGCGUUAUGAAACUACAGACAUUAUGUGUAAUGCAGUGGAAUGGUGAUGUCAUGGCGGGGGGGUUGUAUGGGGAAGAAGACCACGUCUAGACAUUCAACUGCCCCCAUAGACUUCCUGGAUCUCAGUGAUGCUAUGUCCUUGCUGUGGUUCUGCUCCAUUCAUCUCCUCCUCGCACCUUCUUCUCCUCGCCCUCUCUCACGUGUGUGUUUGUGUGUCAGCCCUCUCACCCUCCUCCUAUGGCUCCUUUAUCAAACCUCCAUUUCAGGCCUUGACACUUAGCACAGUGCUGCCACGCUGCACAGAUGCACACGCACACACACGCACACACACGCACACAAACACUGAAGGCACAUGCAAGUAAAUCAAAUGCAUGCACACAAAUGCACAAAGCAAUACACACAUGGAAACAGUUGCUCACGCAGACAGACAAUGAUGUAGAUGAGGAAACACCCACCAUUUGUGCAAUGAGAAAUGUUUAUAAAAUGAAUUAUUUUGAAGCGGUUUGUUUCAGUGGAUUAAUCAAAUCUGACAGCGUAAAAGUAGAGUUUUCUUUGUAUUAUAGCAGCUAGAAAUAAUAACAAAAACACAGUGAAGAGGUGUACGAGUCCAAUUUGAAAAAUGUUCACACAUUCUGAUUUCUCCGGAUAUUGAUCAAAACACAAACAGGCAACAGAAGAACAACAAAUCGCAGUUAUUGUGGAUAUAACGAUACUUGUUGAAUGUAGGCUAGACGCCCCCCGCCCCCCAUUAGAGCCGGCCAGUAAAUGACCUGCUAACAGACGAUAAACGCAGAAUAAAGCCACCAAGAUACAGACAUAUACACAGACACGGUUAAUACUUACUUGCUUUUGGUUCAGGUUGCGUUUCGAGAGCGUGCAGAAACGUGCACAUCAAGGCUAAAGAUCAAUCAAAACGUAGUUUUCUUUGUUAGAUCGCUCUUUCUUAUGAUUUCAGAGAGUAUCCAGUUUUUUUUUUGCAGGCAUUCAGUUGUUUCUUUUCUCCCCCGAUUAUAAUGAAUCAGAAUAUGAUUGCGCGCGUCUGUUGCUGAAAAUCUCGUUUUGACACCGUUAUUGCCGAAUGUGACUUAGGCUAUAGCUUAUGGUCAUGCUGAUGAUGGAAAAGGGAUGAGUCUUUCGGAUGAAAUGAAGCAGAAGUCCCCCUGAAUACUGGCUUCUUCUUUGUUUUGCUAUUUCCUUCGAUUUCAGAGACCCCUCUCCCACCUCUUUGUUAUUGCCAAAAAAAAAACAAUUGACAGCGUUUGUUACAGUGUCUCUACGCUUCCAGGCGCAGGGUGUAGCUACCAUUCAGCUCUUCCUCUGUCUCCCCCUGGCAAAUGUUUCAAUGGAGAUGCAGCCUGUAGACACCUCUCUCUUUGCCUUUCCCUCUCUGUGCCUCUCUCUGUUCCUUUGGAGGAGCGUCACCUUCUGCACUAUUUUUUUCUCCCUCAGACGAUACAUGUGGGCGGAUUAGAGAACAAGACAGAGGAGUGGGAGGACCCCGGCUACACAGACCACACAUGCUCACUCUGCUGGACGGACGCACCAUUUUGUCUACAGGUUCCCAGCCUUGACUUUGCCUGACAUCAGCAGUCAUGUGGUAUAGCAGAGGAGCAGGUGAGUUAUAUGAUAGUGAGAGUGGAGUAAAAAGUCCAAUAAUAUUAAUAAUAAUAAUAAUAAUAAUAAGACAAAGAAGAGGAAGAGACACUGUUUUGAUGAAGUUAUCUUUGCUCCGAAGGCACUCUUUGCUCUCAACAAACAUUAAGGAAUUUGUUGUAUAUUUAAAAAAUGUCACUAUUUCAGUAACAUUCCUGAAACAAAAUACUGCAUAAACAAUACCAGAUCAUAUGAGACUAUGAGAAAUAUAAAAAUCAAUGUGUUUGCAGGAGCCGUAGGUCUGAGCCAUAGUGGAAGUACAUGAUCAGCAAUGUUGCUGAUGCACUCAUCGACAGGAAACUCAGGGUGAAGAGCAACACAGCCUCAUAAAAAAUACAACAGUUGUAAAAAGGCAAAAGGCUAUUGCUUAUAGGUGCCUGUAGCAUUUUCCUUGAUCACGAAAUGUUCUUCCAAGAGCAAAGAGCGGACAGAAAAGUGAUGAGUAAAGAAAAAAGGAGAGUACGUCACUUUUGAACUAAGAAUUUAAAGAUGCAAAAGGGCUGUUUGUAAAUAAGUCUUAUACCCUUUUUAUUGUUCUGAAGUUGAGGCGAAUACAAGCAACAUUCAGAUCUACAGAGUUUUCAAACCACCUAACUUGCAUGUGUUGACACUGGAGGAAAACCAAGUGAACAAACUCCACCAAGAUAGAGGUCAGGCUUCUAACUGCUGUGAGGUUACAGUGCUAAACACAGAGCCACUGCCGUUAUUACUCAAAAAGCACUUUAUUUCUUUAGUCAACCAUAUCUUUCAAUAAUUUUGACACAUACACAUUGGUAAUUGUGUCAGCUGGGAGAGUGUGUGUUGGUAGAUCAAACAAAGUUAAAAAAGGAGCUGUUGAAUGUUGAAAAGUGAAAGAAAUUGAGAAUUCUUAAUAUGUGCACAAAUACAGUCGCCCUCUUUUUUCCAUUUUUUUUGUAAACUAUGCCACAAGAUUACAUGUUUGGCUCUAUAAUGCUACUUAUGCACAGUGGUGACUAGAGGAAAAUUCAGCAGAUCACCAAAGUCAUUAGGGUUUAUCCUCUGUGGAACAUCAAUGUCUGAACAAAAGGCCCUCACUAUCAAUCCCAUUGUUGUUGAGAUAUUUCAGCACGAUGCAAAGCAGUGGAACCACCGACUGACAUUGCCGUCCAUAGAACCGCGCUACUAAAAUGCACCAGCUAAAGAAUGAAAUUAAAGUGCAACAUCGGAAUAUUCAAAUGCAACACUUUCUGCGUCACACCAAGAGCGAGUUCACCCUCAGAGUCAAAAGACCAGAACAAAUGCAGAAGGAAAUCGUCCACAGAAAGUAGCUGACAGUGUUUCUUCAUCAGCCAGCAUAAAUACUGAAUGUUCAACUUUGUUCGUCCUAAGAGUGAGCAUUACACAUCUACAGUUAGUCUCUCGGCGGCGGCGGCAGCAUGGCGCAGCUCAUGCAUAAGGAAGUAGUGAGCAGCAGACCUGAGAAGACUUUGUGUGGUCAGGAGAAUAUUCUCAAGCACUGACAGAGAAAAAUGAGAGGAUGUCCUCAGCCUCUGGGUUCACCAUCAUUUCCUGCAAAUGUGAUCAUUGUUAUUGUAUGGGUAGAUAUACUGUAUAGUGUAUAUUGUACAAAUGAAAAAGGAUUGCAAGGAACAACACACAGCAACACUACCAUAAUACUGUAAUUGCUGUUAAUCUACUAUGUGGGGACUGUACUGUAUGGUAAACAGAAAGGAAAAACAGUGCCCACCGCAUGCUUCCUGUGCUCAGAAAUGAAAAACGUUCAGUGGAAGCUAGUUGCACAGGGAUACAAAAUAGAUUUUGAUACAAGAUGCACAAAUCAGAGUUUGCAGAGCUGCUGAUUAUCUGCUGCACGUUUAAAACCCACAACAAAGGUGAAUAUUGAUUCUAACUACUUUUGAGACAAUGUGCAGUAGGAUGGAAGACUGUAAGCGUCAUCUUAUUAAAUUAUGAAUCAAGUGCAAUGCUAGCAACAGCAGUAAUGCCUCCAAACUCAUCACAAGAUUUGUUAAAUGCAGUCCUGGAACAAUGUUACGUUCAGCACUGCAGUCCAGAAAGCUAGUCUGUGAAGAGACGCUACAAACCUCCAGAGCCGUGCGCUUGCAGCUUCAUUACGUUAUGCACUGUUGAGCAGUAUUAAUUACCUGAUUCAUUUUAAAAUUAAAAGACAUAAUUACUCGAAAAAAUGAAACCAAAACCUUACUGAGACCAUCGUUUUAUUAGUACAUCCCACUGUGUAUAACAGACAAAUUAAUUAAAUAGGAUUUUUUUUAGGGGUGGUCUGCAGUUUUGGGACACAACUUCACAAUGUUCUUCCAGACUCAAAACAUACAGACCUGGAAAACCAUUUCAGAAGGCACGAAAGAAAGCGGUAUUGCCAGACGACGUGGAUGAUGUUUCGAGCUCACUCAUUUUAAAAUAGCAUUUGCCAUCAAUCUGUGAUUGAAUUGACAUGUUCUGUUCUUUUCGCCUGUGAGCCAUCACAUUAUGGAGCCAUACAGGCAGCAAGAGGUUACAUGGAGCAAUGGAUGAAAGAUUAUUGUAACACUGGCUGGCUUACAAUUUCUGAGAAAUAAAAUCAUGUUUUUUGAA